AUACGGAGGGUGCAGGCGUUAAUCGGAAUUACUGGGCGUAAAGGGCGCGUAGGCGGUCUAUCAAGUCAGUUGUGAAAUCCCACGGCUCAACCGUGGAGGUGCAUCUGAAACUGAUAGACUUGAGUAUGGGAGAGGAAAGUGGAAUUCCCGGUGUAGAGGUGAAAUUCGUAGAUAUCGGGAGGAACACCAGUGGCGAAGGCGACUUUCUGGACCAAUACUGACGCUGAGGCGCGAAAGCGUGGGGAGCAAACAGGAUUAGAAACCCCAGUAGUCC
rnacentral:rRNA from 1 species